CCUCUCGUGAGCUGACUAGAAGCAGAAGAGAAGCAUAAUUCAAUCCAUGAGUGAUCAUCGAUAUAGCUGCAUGCUUGCUGAUGGUUAAGUGCAUGCAUGCUUUUUGAUUAGUACAUCAAGGUGGAUUCGAGAAGACACCUGCUCUCAGACUAUUGGUAUAGAAGUGGAGCGUUUGUGUUGUUGCUGAUUGGUAUUAUUACUUGGAAUAUUCCGGCGCGUAAAUUAUUUUUGGAAGAACAUCUAUCUGCAAAUUGAGGUAUAUAUAUGAUGUCUUAUGAUAUGUGGUCUUAUAAUAUUUUUGAAGUAUUUUUUAAGAAUUAGUGUGUUGUUUUUUUGUUAAAAAUAAAUGAGUAAUUAUUUAAAAAAAAUCAUAAUGGCAUGUUUAAAUAUCUGAUGUAAUGAAAUUAUUAAAACAUGAAUACGAUUUAAGGUAGGAUGUUACCAAUAUUAUUUUAAAAAUCUGGUUCGACGGUAGAUACGAUGGAAUAUUUGGUAGUGUUCUAUGGGGAAGUCGUAUGUGAUGAAUUUGGUGAGGUGGAUUUCUCCAACUGCGACUCGAUGGAAGUUGCAGUGAUAGAUAUGGUUAAUAGAGCAUUUGCGGGCGUAAGAAAAUGCAUCCGAGCCCCAUUUGGUCAGGGGAUGCGUGGCAAGAGGAUGACGGUUGAGGCUUGAUACGUCCAAAACGUAUCUACUUUCCCGAACACUUUUGCUAUUGUUUUGCCUCUAAAUUUUUUUUUGAACGGGUUUUGCCUCUAAUUUGUGUAUUUUGGAUACAACUAACACGGACUAACGCUGUUUUCAGCAGAAUUGCUCUGGUGUCUCGUUUUUGUGCAGAAAUUCAACUUUCAGGUAAAUCCCCGGAAUUAAUGUCAAAGGGCUUAUUUUCCCAGAAGAUUCACGGAGCCAGAAGGGCAGGCCAGGGGGGCCCACGGCCCCCACACCAUGGGCCGGCGCGGCCUAGGAGGGGGGCGCGCCGCCAAAUGGUGAGGCCGCCUCGGCCAGCCUCUGACGCCCCCCUCUGGACUAUUUAAGGGUUUCGAUCUAAAAAUACACGGAGAGAAGUCGAAAUCGCCAGAAGACAUCCAGUACGCCGCCACCAUCGUGAAACUCUGUCUCGGGACCAGAAACUCCGUUAUGGCACUCCGCCGGGACAGGGAAUUGGAGGAGAUCAUCGCCAUCAUCACCACCGACACCUCUCCAUCGACCAGCCAUGUUUCCCCCAUCCAUGUGUGAGUAAUUCCCCCGCUGUAGGCUGAAGGGGAUGGUAGGGAUUGGAUGAGAUUGGUCAUGUAAUAGCAUAAGAUUGUUAGGGUAUAGUGCCUAGUGUCCGUAAUUGGUAUUUUUAUGAUAUUGUUGCAACUUGUUAUGAUUAA